CAGGACCUGUCCCUGGAGCUUGAG
rnacentral:piRNA from 1 species